rnacentral:rRNA from 1 species
CCCUUAGAUGUUCUGGGCCGCACGCGCGCUACACUGAUGCAUUCAACGAGUCUAAAACCUGCUCUGAUAGGGGUGGGUAAUCUUUUGAAUGUGCAUCGUGAUUGGGAUAGAUGAUUGCAAUUUUUCAUCUUCAACGAGGAAUGCCUAGUAAACGCAAGUCAUCAGCUUGCAUUGAUUACGUCCCUGCCCUUUGCACACACCGCCCGUCGCUCCUACCGAUUGAAUGAUCCGAUGAAUAUCAUGGAUUGAGGAUUAUAGCAGGUUCGCCUGUCUUGAUCUUCGAGAAGUGAAGUAAAUCUUAUCAUUUAGAGGAAGGAGAAGUCGUAACA